CAAAAAUUAUUAUUAUCAUUUUCAAUUCGUUACUAUAUAAAUGUUAUCACAAUCAUUGUUCAACCACGUGGAACCAUAACAGACAUUUGAAUACCAUCCAAAGAAGUAAGAAAAAUUCAGCAUUUUUGUCCUGUGAAAUAAAUAUCGUUAACGUAUCCUGUAUGGCCAUUUUAGCUCUGAUGGAUUCCCUAUCAUAUUUAGCCUAUAUUUUAGUGCCUCAGGUUGACUUUGAGGUUGGCUACCAAUGGCAGACAGUCGUCGUGUGGGACCGGUAUAGGCCGGCAAAUCUCUUGCCAAAUCUAUUCGCUCAAACCUCACACGCACAGACAUUAUCAAAAGCGGUAAUGAACUUAGUUGUUACCCGUUAAGCUUAGUUGUUUUGCCAUGCCGUUCGAAUUUGAGAAGUGCUACCCCCUCGAAUGCAGAUAUACGACAGGUAUUCCUUCUGUUCGAAACGCAAGAUCGAAGUCUGUGAAAAGUCUCUUGACUAUGGCGUGCGUGGUGCUUCUAGGUAGACUCGCUCAGCCAUAGGGAGCUCGUCAAUGUAAACGCACUUUCAUUUCGGCAAAGGAGGCAAAUUGUUAUUAGCAAUGACUCGGUGUUACAACGUUUGCUCAAAGGCAUUGGUCAUAACUAAGCACAGACCGAGUACGCACUUAGUCUUCUCUUUAAUCGUUCACUUAGAGUGUAAGCAAGAAGAGACAUGGUUAAUGCAAGAAACUCUCUCCUACUCUAUACUUAUUGACUGCUUUUAUUGGGGCCCCCUACCUUGGCAGAUCGUUCAAGUAAUACUCUUGAGAGCUACUGAGAUAAAUAUCUCAACGCACCUUCGCCCUUGAAUACCUAUUUUCGUGCUAUGCGUAUAACAGAGACGACCUGAGGCUUUCCAUGCCUAGCAACAGCGCGUCCUUUUAAGUAUCUCCGGAUAUUCCAAACAUUAUUGACUGCCCGUAUCAACUGCUCACAAGUAACGUUUGCAGUCGUUACCCAUUCAUCGAAGUAGAAGUCACGCACCAUGUUUUCGUAUAUGAUUCAAAGCAACAGUGAAGAUUUUGUUAAACUAUACAACUGGUUAGCCCGAAUCGCGUUGUUUUCCAAAGCCAGAUGCUAAUAUUACCCUAAAAAUGAUGAGUUGUCGCAAUUGAGCGAUCUGAAGAGUAACCUUUGGACAUGUCUCAUUUAUAAAUCUGAGAGAUGUAAAGAGUAAAGUGCAAAUUAGUGUGAGAUGGAGAGGCAAGGAAUUUGUGGGCGCUUAUAGUAAAUAUAAGCUUGAUAUUGGAACUUUGAACACAUUCGGAAGCUCGUACGUACUCUAUGCAGCUUAACAAACGGGCGUGAUUUUGACGGCAAACGCUCACUGGAGUAGUUCCUAUGCAAACUGCACCGCUCACUGUGGAUGCCCCAGCAUUGAAAGGGUUUUCUUUGCGAUUAGGGAGCAAGCGAUGUCUAGACAGGUCACCGGCCUCGAUUGAUGACAAAAGUGAUUUGGAGAUCGGUACAGAAGAAAGUCGGCGGUUAAACCUGCAGGUAGCGGCUUUUCACAGAUCGCUCCAGACCAGAUAUAAGCAUUGGCAAUGGCGGUGUUUUUCAGUCGAUUAAUAACAACGAGGAAACACAAACUUCAGAGCCGUAUCAUUACCUGCAAUCCAUGAGACCAGAAGCCGGUCGUUC
rnacentral:lncRNA from 1 species